rnacentral:piRNA from 1 species
UGAGCAGCAUGUUGUGUCUUGAAUAGGGA